rnacentral:rRNA from 1 species
CCUACGGAGGCAGCAGUGGGGAAUCUUGGACAAUGGGCGCAAGCCUGAUCCAGCCAUGCCGCGUGAGUGACGAAGGCCUUAGGGUUGUAAAGCUCUUUUAGCAGGGAAGCGGUACCUGCAGAAUAAGCCCCGGCUAACUUCGUGCCAGCAGCCGCGGUGAUACGAAGGGGGCUAGCGUUGUUCGGAAUUACUGGGCGUAAAGCGCACGUAGGCGGAUCAUUUAGUCAGGGGUGAAAUCCCGGGGCUCAACCUCGGAACUGCCUUUGAUACUGAUGGUCUCGAGUCCGAUAGAGGUGAGUGGAAUUCCUAGUGUAGAGGUGAAAUUCGUAGAUAUUAGGAAGAACACCAGUGGCGAAGGCGGCUCACUGGAUCGGACUGACGCUGAGGUGCGAAAGCGUGGGGAGCAAACAGGAUUAGAUACCCUUGUAGUC